AAUCAACGCUGGCGGCGUGCCUCAGACAUGCAAGUCGAACGAUUAAAGCUCUCUUCGGAGAGUGCAUAGAGUGGCGCACGGGUGAGUAACACGUAAGUAAUCUACCCUCGAGUGGGGAAUAACGUCCGGAAACGGACGCUAAUACCGCAUAAUGCAGCGGCACCGCAAGGUGACAGUUGUUAAAGAUUUAUCGCUUGAGGAGGAGCUUGCGGCAGAUUAGCUAGUUGGUAAGGUAAUGGCUUACCAAGGCUACGAUCUGUAACCGGUCUAAGAGGACGGUCGGUCACACUGACACUGAAUAACGGGUCAGACUCCUACGGGAGGCAGCAGUCGGGAAUUUUGGGCAAUGGGCGAAAGCCUGACCCAGCAACGCCGCGUGAAGGAUGAAGUAUUUCGGUAUGUAAACUUCGAAAGAAUAGGAAGAAUUAAUGACGGUACUAUUUAUAAGGUCCGGCUAACUACGUGCCAGCAGCCGCGGU
rnacentral:rRNA from 1 species